rnacentral:lncRNA from 1 species
AAUAGAUCUGUCAUUUAAUUGCAUUAAUUACAUAUAAAAGUAUUUAUGUCUAAAGUUGAUUGGACCUAGGGCAUCAUACUUACACAAAUGAGUGUAGAGGAGUCCUACAUCACUGCAAUAGUUUAUGCCCAUCUCUCUAUCAUCUUAAUGUCUAUCUCCAACAAAGGAAAAUAAUUUCCUCUACUUUGUACUUUAUUAACUCAUUUAUUAGCCAUUUUCUUUUUCCUUUGCAAAUUAUAAUGGAGGAGGAUGCCAUUAACAAAUACGUUAAGAUGUGUUGGCUUUGCAAAGGACUGCUAAAGAUGAAAAGGCCUCGUGAUUUGAGAGUAGAAGCAAAAUAGGUUGAGGAGAAAAUUGAUUGGCAGCUUGUUUGUAUAGUGAAGUUUUGCUAAGGUUUCAGUUGGAAAAGGAUGUUGGCAGAUAACGAUAAGGUUGAGUCAGUUAAAUGGGAGUUGGAGCCGAAAAACUCAAAAAUACAGAUGUAGUUAAGGUGAUGGAAAUGGAGAAGGAAUGGACUGAUGAAGAGUGGGUAAAAUAAGUAGAGUAGUGGAGAAAUGGAAAUCAUCUCCAAAAGCUGAAGCUAUGAGCUAAGAGGUUUAUGUGGUAGCUUUGCAUGAUAUCAUCAAUAUUAUUGGGGCAAAGGUACUUGACCUUGACACCAGCUUUCUUCAUCAGCAACUGGAGCGUCGAGAGGAGCUUUUAGCAAACAUGAUAGGGAUUUAUCUUUCUGGGGCUUAAGAUGAAGAGGUGGCUCCUAUUCUAGAUUAGCAAGUUGACCCCAAAGGCAACGUUGACCCUCAAGGAAACCUUCCUCUUGUUAUAUGAAUGUUCUUAUUUAAUUUGGCAAUUCCUUUUCGUGAUCAUUGGUAAUUUUUGCUUUGUUUUGAUGUAGCCUGGGA